GACGAACGCUGGCGGCGUGCUUAACACAUGCAAGUCGAACGGAAAGGCCCUGCUUUUGUUGGUUGCUCGAUUGGCGAACGGGUGAGUAACACGUGAGUAACCUGCCCUUGACUUUGGGAUAACUUCAGGGAACUGGGGCUAAUACCGGAUAGGAUCUCCUGCUGCAUGGUGGGGGUUGGAAAGUGUCGGCGGUUGGGGAUGGACUCGCGGCUUAUCAGCUUGUUUGUGGGGUAGUGGCUGACCAAGGCUUUGACGGGUAGCCGGCCUGAGAGGGUUAACGGCCACAUUGGGACUGAGAUACGGACCAGACUCCUACGGGAGGCAGCAGUGGGGAAUAUUGCACAACGGGCGGAAGCCUGAUGCAGCAACGCCGCGUGCGGGAUGACGGCCUUCGGGUUGUAAACCGCUUUCGCCUGUGACGAAGCGUGAGUGACGGUAAUGGGUAAAGAAGCCCCGGCUAACUACGUG
rnacentral:rRNA from 1 species